AGAUUGAACGCUGGCGGCAGGCCUAACACAUGCAAGUCGAGCGGUAGAGAGGUGCUUGCAUCUCUUGAGAGCGGCGGACGGGUGAGUAAUGCCUAGGAAUCUGCCUAGUGGUGGGGGAUAACGUUCGGAAACGGACGCUAGUACCGCAUACGUCCUACGGGAGAAAGCGGGGGACCUUCGGGCCUCGCGCCAUUAGAUGAGCCUAGGUCGGAUUAGCUAGUUGGUGAGGUAAUGGCUCACCAAGGCGACGAUCCGUAACUGGUCUGAGAGGAUGAUCAGUCACACUGGAACUGAGACACGGUCCAGACUCCUACGGGAGGCAGCAGUGGGGAAUAUUGGACAAGUGGGACGAAAGCCUAGAUCCAGCCAU
rnacentral:rRNA from 1 species